UACGUAGGGUGCAAGCGUUGUCCGGAAUUAUUGGGCGUAAAGAGCUCGUAGGCGGUUUGUCGCGUCUGCUGUGAAAUCCCGAGGCUCAACCUCGGGCCUGCAGUGGGUACGGGCAGACUAGAGUGCGGUAGGGGAGAUUGGAAUUCCUGGUGUAGCGGUGGAAUGCGCAGAUAUCAGGAGGAACACCAAUGGCGAAGGCAGAUCUCUGGGCCGUAACUGACGCUGAGGAGCGAAAGCAUGGGGGAGCGAACAGG
rnacentral:rRNA from 1 species